GGCAUAACACUGCAGUCGCCAGUCAAACGGAGUUGGUAUUUUUAUUUACAUUUCUCAUAUUAUUAUUGCAAACACAUCACACGCAGUAGCAAUUUAAAAGUUUAGCUCGCAUUAUAAAAACAUACAAUAAAAUAUGAUUAGUCCAUGACGAAUUGGUGCUUACGGCUAGUCAACUUUCUUGUCAACGAAAUUAUUAAAAAAAAAAAAUAAUAAUAACAUUUUUGCACUCGUUUUCCAAAUUACUACAUUUGUAAAAAAUGGACAGAUGUCACGACUUCAUAACCAGUCUUAUGGUGCCAAACUAUUUGAAUUUCGAAUCGGAAUACGACGAAACGGCCAAGAAGAUCAAUGAUCUAAACAAUACCAUUCAGACGUAUUCACACAAGAUCAAAAUCGACUGGUCGGCAGAAGAUUAUCGGUUGAUGUGUAUCACAACGCCUCAGCAGAAGUUCAAAAACAUAAAUGCCACAUUGACAAAAACAAAACAGAGUGAGACUGUAGCAAAAAUUGUUUAAAAAUAUUGUACAUACUAAUCACUAAGUAUAUUAUACAUAGUUAGUAAUUAAUGCAAUAGUUUAAUUAUGCACUAGACAUUCUGAGCAAACUAAUUAAAUUAUUCAUCUAACUAAAUACAUGUUUCGCCUAUUGCACACAAUAAGUACCAUUAAAGUUGUACAAAAAGAAUAUAUCCUUAUUUUAUUGACCGCGGGUACAUCAUAUAGUUUCCUUUGAACUCAUGCAUUAUAUUAAUUAGUAUAUAUACCCAAUUAUUAUUGAUUAAUUUAUAAUAAAUGUUAUAUAAUGGCAA